rnacentral:rRNA from 1 species
GAUGAACGCUGGCGGCGUGCUUAACACAUGCAAGUCGAGCGAAGCACUUUUGCGGAUUUCUUCGGAUUGAAGCAACUGUGACUGAGCGGGCGUAGGGUCAAGGUACGCUGGUAACUGCUCAUCAGGGGGAUAACAGUUGGAAACGGCUGCUAAUACCGCAUAAGCGCACAGGACCGCAUGGUCUGGUGUGAAAAACUCCGGUGGUAUGAGAUGGACCCGCGUCUGAUUAGCUAGUUGGUGAGGUAACGGCCCACCAAGGCGACGAUCGGUAGCCGACCUGAGAGGGUGAUCGGCCACAUUGGGACUGAGACACGGCCCAA